rnacentral:rRNA from 1 species
GACGAACGCUGGCGGCGUGCCUAAUACAUGCAAGUAGAACGCUGAAGGAGGAGCUUGCUUCUCUGGAUGAGUUGCGAACGGGUGAGUAACGCGUAGGUAACCUGCCUGGUAGCGGGGGAUAACUAUUGGAAACGAUAGCUAAUACCGCAUAAGAGUAGAUGUUGCAUGACAUUUACUUAAAAGGUGCAAUUGCAUCACUACCAGAUGGACCUGCGUUGUAUUAGCUAGUUGGUGGGGUAACGGCUCACCAAGGCGACGAUACAUAGCCGACCUGAGAGGGUGAUCGGCCACACUGGGACUGAGACACGGCCCAGACUCCUACGGGAGGCAGCAGUAGGGAAUCUUCGGCAAUGGACGGAAGUCUGACCGAGCAACGCCGCGUGAGUGAAGAAGGUUUUCGGAUCGUAAAGCUCUGUUGUAAGAGAAGAACGAGUGUGAGAGUGGAAAGUUCACACUGUGACGG